rnacentral:rRNA from 1 species
GUUACACGAUAACUUUUCGAAUCGCAUGGCCUUGCGCCGGCGAUGGUUCAUUCAAAUUUCUUCCCUAUCAACUUUCGAUGUUUGGGUAUUGGCCAAACAUGGUCGCAACGGGUAACGGAGGGUUAGGGCUCGACCCCGGAGAAGGAGCCUGAGAAACGGCUACUACAUCCAAGGAAGGCAGCAGGCGCGCAAAUUACCCAAUCCCGAUUCGGGGAGGUAGUGACAAUAAAUACUGAUACAGGGCUCUUUUGGGUCUUGUAAUUGGAAUGAGUACAAUUUAAAUCCCUUAACGAGGAACAAUUGGAGGGCAAGUCUGGUGCCAGCAGCCGCGGUAAUUCCAGCUCCAAUAGCGUAUAUUAAAGUUGUUGUGGUUAAAAAGCUCGUAGUUGAACCUUGGGCCUGGCUGGCCGGUCCGCCUCACCGCGUGCACUGUGCCGGCCGGGCCUUUCCCUCUGUGGAACCUCAUGCCCUUCACUGGGUGUGGCGGGGAACCAGGACUUUUAC